UACGUAGGGGGCAAGCGUUGUCCGGAUUUAUUGGGCGUAAAGAGCGUGUAGGCGGUUCGGUAGGUCCGUUGUGAAAACUCGAGGCUCAACCUCGAGACGCCGAUGGAAACCAUCGAACUAGAGUCCGGAAGAGGAGAGUGGAAUUCCUGGUGUAGCGGUGGAAUGCGCAGAUAUCAGGAGGAACACCAAUAGCGAAGGCAGCUCGCUGGGACGUUACUGACACUGAGGCGCGAAAGCGUGGGGAGCAAACAGG
rnacentral:rRNA from 1 species